rnacentral:lncRNA from 1 species
AAUGAUGGCCAAAUCGCAUGUAUAAUAUGUCUAUGAAAAGCUUGAGAAGUAUAUUACAAAUCUCUAGAAGACAUUAAGUCCUAAUAACAUCAUCUACCAGCUCAAUCCAGUUAAAACAGAAAAUCGCAGUAAGUCAGAAUCAGCAAAUCAUUCUAAAACAAUUACUGCAGAAUCAACAGAUUUUGUAGGUGUUUUUGAGUGACCAAAUGACAUCUGUUCAGGGCAUGCAACAUAUCAAAUCGAAGCUCUAGAAGUUUAUUUUAUAUGUCUAGAAGGGCUUGAAGUCAAAAAACCUUAUCUAAUACCUCGUUUCAGCCAAAACAGAAAGUGAU